rnacentral:rRNA from 1 species
GCAGUCGAGCGGGGUUUCAGGGCUUCGGUCCUGAGACCCAGCGGCGGACGGGUGAGUAACACGUGGAUAACCUGCCCUCUGCUCUGGGAUAACAGGCCGAAAGGCCUGCUAAUACCGGAUAAGCUCACGGACCCGCAUGGGUUUGGGAGAAAAGGCGCUGGAGUCGGUGGCGCUGGCAGAGGAGGGGUCCGCGGCCCAUUAGCUGGUUGGCGGGGUAACGGCCCACCAAGGCGACGAUGGGUAGCCGGCCUGAGAGGGCGACCGGCCACACUGGGACUGAGACACGGCCCAGACUCCUACGGGAGGCAGCAGUCGGGAAUUUUGCACAAUGGCCGAAAGGCUGAUGCAGCAACGCCGCGUGAGCGAAGAAGGCCUUCGGGUUGUAAAGCUCUGUUGCCUGCGAAGAAGGGCCCUGUCAGGAAAUGGGCGGGGUUUGACGGUAGCAGGCGAGGAAGCCCCGGCAAACUACGUGCCAGCAGCCGCGGUAAUACGUAGGGGGCGAGCGUUGUCCGGAAUUACUGGGCGUAAAGGGCGUGUAGGCGGCCUGUUAAGUCAGGGGUGAAAGACCGGGGCUCAACCCCGGGGGUGCCUCUGAAACUGGCGGGCUUGAGUGCUCUAGAGGGCAGUGGAAUUCCCGGUGUAGCAGUGAAAUGCGUAGAGAUCGGGAGGAACACCAGUGGCGAAGGCGGCUGCCUGGGGAGUCACUGACGCUGAGGCGCGAAAGCUAGGGGAGCAAACAGGAUUAGAUACCCUGGGUAGUCCUAGCCGUAAACGAUGAGC